rnacentral:rRNA from 1 species
CCUACGGGUGACAGCAGUGAGGAAUAUUGGUCAAUGGGCGGAAGCCUGAACCAGCCAAGUCGCGUGAGGGAUUAAGGCCCUGCGGGUCGUAAACCUCUUUUGCCGGGGAGCAGUGGUCCGGACGAGUCCGGGCCGGGAGAGUACCCGGAGAAAAAGCAUCGGCUAACUCCGUGCCAGCAGCCGCGGUAAUACGGAGCAUGCGAGCGUUAUCCGGAUUUAUUGGGUUUAAAGGGUGCGUAGGCGGGCAUUUAAGCCGGCGGUCAAAUGUCGGGGCUCAACCCCGGCCUGCCGGCGGAACUGGGUGCCUUGAGUGGGCGAGAAGUAUGCGGAAUGCGUGGUGUAGCGGUGAAAUGCAUAGAUAUCACGCAGAACCCCGAUUGCGAAGGCAGCAUACCGGCGCCCGACUGACGCUGAGGCACGAAAGUGCGGGUAUCGAACAGGAUUAGAUACCCGUGUAGUC